AUAAUGAAUUGGAGGGGAGCGGUGGGGCACGAUUCAGUCCACUGCACACCGUUCUCCUCUCCAGACCUCUCACUGGCAAGUCCUUUCAUCUCAAUUUCAGUUCUGUGAGGCCGUCCUACUAUUGUCUAUCACCCUGUUUGAUUUUUUUGUAGCCUCAUCAUUUAUUCAUUACAGUUUCUUAAGUUCUUUUUUUUAGGGAGCUUGUCAUUGCCUAGAAGAGUGCUGGGCACACAAUAGUGAUACUGAAUAUACAACUAAAAUCAUGUAAUAUAGCACAUGAGAUUCUUAAUGCUAAAAUUAAGACUUUUUAACAUGAAAAAUGCUCUUAAGGGCAGAAAUGAAGCAAAUUUCAGGCAAGAUGGCAGACAAGACUGAAACGGAUUCAUCCAUCAACUGCUACAGACUUAAAAAACAAAAUAUGCCCAAUGCAAAGCUGAGCUCAGGAAAUCCUCAGAUGCUAGAGAUAAAGACAAAAUCCAGUUGCAGAAGUGAGUUCCAGGUGAUGCCAGGAGACCCCAGGAAGUAUCAGAUUAGGUCACAAAACUAGGAAUAAGGUUUUAAUGUCUUCAGAAAAACAGAGCAUUUGGUGAGAGAAGGGAACUAAUCCGAGACUCCCGCAUACAACCAGGACACUUGAAGGGCUGCCUCACCUGUGAAAAAGAAACUGGAAAAAUCUCUUCAAAUCUGUCUGUGGAAACAGAAAGACAGCCUGGUGUUUGACAAAGCUCUCGGUGGGACAAACCUCCUCUGAGAAAUGGAAACCUAGGAAAUCAAAAGCCCAGAAAUUAAGGGAAAGCAUUAGUCUCAGAUAAUGAAAAGGAAACCCUUGGGGCCCGGGCCAAAGCAAAUGUAAAAACAUGAACACUUGCAUAAUCUCGUACAUGGGACUCACAGAAAAUGCAACCCCUAAUAUAGAUGAGCUCGCAAUGAAAAAUUAUCCACCACUGUGGCAAUGCAGUCACCAAAAGGAAGACUCAACAGACCAAUGAGCAUAGACACGAGCUGUGGAGUAUGAUCAGCUUGUCGAAAGAAUGAAUCAAUGACACUCUGUCUUCGUGGAGAGCAGCCUGGGUGUGGAAUCAGGCACCCCCGGGUUCAAAGCCAUCACUGUGAUUGAAGAACAGAAGUCAUUCGUGAAGGACACAGCACACACAGCCCAGAGAGCUCGCAGGUUAAAACUGCACAUGGAGCAAUGUCUGCCAGCCAUUCAGGGUACUUCAAAAUAGGUCAGAAUACGUUUCCAGAAAGUGACACCUUCUUUUUGGGUUUGCGUAUAAUAAUAAAUCUAGGGGAUAAGAAC
rnacentral:lncRNA from 1 species